CCAUCGAAGCGUUUUCAGGAAUCUACAUAAGAGCACCAAGAAACUGAUGUAUGUUAGCAGGCAAAAAGAGGGACUCUAUCAUGUGUCUUAUCAACUCAUGUAACUCAGGCUCGGGUUUUCAUAUCAUAAACGGGUGAAAUGAUGAUUCUGACUUCUGAGUAACAUAGCUCAUCAUACAAGCAUAAUAACUUUGAAAGUCAAUGCUGAUCCAUUUACCUCAAGAGAAGCCCUUGUAGCUGGAUAUAGAUCAUCAUCGCUAAGACCUGUGAACUCCAAAACGAAAUAGUGCUCCAACUACUUUCAGAAGAUGAAUCAGAACUCAUUACUCCAUAAAUUCCAAGAUCAACCAUAGGGGCAUGACUCGUCAGAAAGGUGUAAAGCAUAGGGGAAAGAUAUAUAUAUUAAAAGAAAAGCCCCGUAAUUUCUGCAUAGUAUGAGGCGCUCGACCUUUCAGUUUUAAGUAAUACAUCUCAGAGGAUCAGGUGAAAGUCACAGUGCUUGAAGUGAUCACUAGCAUAACGGUAUUUUAUCUGAUGCAGUUACAUAAAACAGUCCUAUGUUGGGUACUUGUCUCAGGUCACCCUGGCCAGUCUGCCUCCCAAUCUCCCCCCGCCCUUCUUCCCAGGAGGUGCAACUGCUUUUACUUGGGAUCAAACCCAGACCUUCCCGGAGGAAGGUAAAUAUGGUACUAUCUAAGCUACACUCAGUCGGUUUGAUCACUAGCAGAAGUUGCUUGAUUACAAAUUUGGAUAACGCCGGUUUGAAGGCAUUAAAAGCAAUCCCAAUUACAUACAGCACCACCCCAAAAUGAGGAUUAAACUCUGCUGCCUAGGGUUGCCAUGAAAGCACCAACUAGUGGUCCAUCUCAGGGAUUCUCAAAUUGCAAAAUCAUAUAGCAAUUCUUUGAAGUUUCGUGAACGUAUCUGGUAUUAAACCAGUGCCAAAACACAUUGUGUUCGUAACUUUAUAAUGACAUCUAAGAACUAACCUUUCCCAUUACCAAAAGUUACGAACAUUUAAAGUAUUUUUAUUCUUUUUAAUCCACAUAAGCCCUCUCCCUAUGUGAAGUGCCCAAAUUAAAAUGUUGAUAUCUUUUGAGAUGGAAGGACUACUAUUAGCUUAGAUUCGUUUAUAAGAUACCCCAACUAACUUUACCAAGUACCAAAACAAUCAUCCUUGUGCAGUAAAUUAUUGCUUUGAUUACAUAGGGAAAGUGUAAAAUUUACCAGGGUAACAAAUCAGGGCAGAGCCAAGAAGGAGGCGGCCAGAACAACCCGGACAAGCCUGGAUAAGAUGAUAACACCUUACAACGAUUCUCUUUCAUGCAGAACACGCCAAUCGUAAGGUGAUUUUCUUCUCCUUCAAACAAUUUAUAAUCAGGAGAAUACCCUCCAGAAUGAUGAGGAAAACAAUUUUUAGGGAACAAAAUACAAUUUCCUCUGCACCCUGGAACAUCUUUAGCAUCAACAAAGAAGCAGCUGUCAAAACUGACGAACAAAAUCCUAUCUCCUAAAUUAUUCAGCUUAUCCCACUUACGCUGCGCUUCAUUCAACCUAAAAACCGAAAAACUCGAGUAGUUUCUAACAAUCAUGUAGAGUUCUCCAAAUGAUUCCACCAACAGCUUACGCGUAUGUCUGUGUGAAUAGCAGUAACCUAAUCGAUCUGCAAUAGCAUCAAUUAUGCUCAUCUUAUAACUAUCAAUGCCAAUGAGUGAUUCUUUAGAUUUAUAGAAGCCAAAGAACCUCCUAACUUGAGGAACAAAACAACUGCUGUACAAUCAGAAAUGGAGGUUGCGUUAUCGGAGAGCAUCACCAC